GCCACCGUGGUGAAAUCGGUAGACACGACGGAUUCAAAAUCCGUUGCCCUUGGGCGUGGCGGUUCAAGUCCGCCCGGUGGUACCA
rnacentral:tRNA from 1 species